rnacentral:rRNA from 1 species
GCAGUCGAGCGAGAAAGCAACUUCGGUUGCGAGUACAGCGGCGAACGGGUGAGUAACACGUGGACAACCUACCGUAGAGUGGGGAAUAACCAGGGGAAACUCGGGCUAAUUCCGCAUAAUUCCAUCACUCCCUGGAGAGAUGGGGAAAGGGGGCCAAUUCUUGAAAGCUCCCGCUCUUCGAGGGGUCCGCGUCUGAUUAGCUUGUUGGUGGGGUAACGGCCUACCAAGGCAGCGAUCAGUAGCCGGCCUGAGAGGGCGAUCGGCCACACUGGAACUGAGACACGGUCCAGACUCCUACGGGAGGCAGCAGUGAGGAAUAUUGCGCAAUGGGCGAAAGCCUGACGCAGCAACGCCGCGUGGAGGACGAAGGCCUUCGGGUCGUAAACUCCUGUCAGAAGGGACGAAAAGGCUUCGGUUAAUACCCGGAGCUCCUGACGGUACCUUCAGAGGAAGCCCCGGCUAACUCCGUGCCAGCAGCCGCGGUAAUACGGAGGGGGCAAGCGUUAUUCGGAAUUAUUGGGCGUAAAGCGCGCGCAGGCGGCUUGGCAAGUCAUAGGUGAAAUCCCUCGGCUCAACCGAGGAACUGCCUAUGAAACUGCCUGGCUCGAGGUCGGGAGGGGGUGAUGGAAUUCCCAGUGUAGCGGUGAAAUGCGUAGAUACUGGGAGGAACACCGGUGGCGAAGGCGAUCACCUGGACCGAUUCUGACGCUGAGGCGCGAAAGCGUGGGGAGCAAACAGGAUUAGAUACCCUG